GUGAUGCGGGUGGAAGUCCCCCUCCGCAGCUCAGGGCUGCUGCAGAUCACUUUCCAAAGCUCUUUAACACGAGGACAGACUCCUGCCACACUACGAUCUGGAUCCCUAUGACAUAUCAGCCCCUCUUUUCCUUUGGAUUUUCUCCUUAGGUUUCAGUUGGGAGGCCAGCAAUGCAGUGGGGAUUCAGAGGAAAGAGCACACAGUCUCUUAAGGAAUCAAGGAAAAUUUUAGUGAAGGAAAUGACUGUGAAGUGGCCUAAAUACUGGAGAGCAUAAGAGCCAUUGUUACGUGGAGCAGAGAGACCCUGUCCUCUCAGACUGUUGUGUUUUUACCUGGGACACAGAGACACUGGGAGCUGCUGGGAGCUGAGUUCAGAGUCAGCAGUCCAGAGGGCUACAAAGACUCUCUCCUUGGCCUGACUCCCUCAGAGUCCUCUCCACCAUAAUGGCCAUGACCUAAGACUCUGCCCUGGGCCAGAUCAGUUCAGUUUUAACAAGAACUCUGUUGGAUCACUAGCGAAAAUCCCCCAACCUUGAUAUUGGCUUGAGUCCCUCAUCCACAACGUAAAAACAUUUCCUUGAAUACUGCAGGCACCCUACAAUGCCAGGAAAUUAAGGAUUAAGCUGACACUUCAGGGAUGGCAGAGUGAAACGUGCAAAAAGCCUGGC